UCCUCGGUAGUAUAGUGGUCGGCUGAUAUCCUGCCUGUCACGCGGGGAGACCGGAGUUCGAUUCCCCGCCGGGGAG